CACCUCCACUCUAUCUCUCUCAAUCUAGUAGAACUAGUUCUACUCUCACAUUGGAUGCUAAGCCCUAUGAGGUGGAACCCUAGAGGGACCUCUCUCUCUGAAUCCUCUCUGGAAAAUAUGCUAAUGAAUAAUGGGAUUUCUCUCCUCCAGGGGCUAGGGGGCCUGCUUAUAUAGUCCCCUCAAGUGAACGUGGGCCGUUGGAUCAAACCAACAUUGAUUGAAUGGUUCUCCUUGAUCCUUUAGGUCGGUGGAGCAUAAUCCGCGAGACGGGACCUGAUUGGUCUCUGUAGCAGGGCGGGCGCCCAAGGGGGGAGGGCGGGCGCCCUGCCCCCGGGCCCGCUUAGCCUUCCGUUCGUUCCCGUGGCUUCUAGAGUCUUCUAGAUGAUAGAAAAUUGUGCGGCACGUUAAUAUCUCUAUGUAAACCCGACAUGUGGGCCUUUCCUCCAUAUUUCCUGAUAACCACCCUGCAGAAAUAGACAAACACCAAAACUCGUGGAAUUUUGUGAGAUAAAACCCUAAGUCUGGGUGUUGGUUGCAUUUGGAUCCUUUUCUUUGUUUAUUUGAUGAUUAUAUUUGGUACUUAAGGACUGUCAACAACUCCCCCAAGCUUACCUCUUGCUCAUCCCUAAGCAAGGAUUGACUGAAGAGUUCCUACAGUGGUUUCAUGCCUUAAAAGUACACAUGCGUUCAAGAAAGAUCUCAUCUCUGAGUUGGAGUAAACUGUUAAGACUUAAAACUUACUCAUUUUACCUUUCACCAUGGGGCUUGCAACCGUCACUUGUGUCUUGAGCAGUGAAAAGAUAGAACAGUCUAGUCAAGCGCCAUGUCUCUUGUUCUUUGAUCAGCUAUAGCUCUGGAGUUUUUGCAGAUUUUCAAAUAAAACUCAGAGAUUCCUUGUAUGACUCUCUCAAAUCUCUCUUUUGUGGUAUUUCUGGGUCCUUUCCAAGACAAUAAUGGUAUAUGCCUUCUCUCAAAGUAUGUGGUAUUUUUGGUAUGAGGCAUAGUAAUAUUGCCUUCUCUCUCACCCUAAUCUAAUAAGGUUUUGAUAUCUGGAGCUCAUAGGUGGGAGAUAGAUAAUACAUAAUUACAAGACAUUUAUUGCAUAGUCAAACCAUGGAUCCAGAGAAACAAGUCAAUAAGUCAAAUCAAGAUGUGCAUGUGUGGCGAGUGAAUGGUGUAUGGUGAUGAUGGUGAUAACAAUAGUGAAAACAAUGGUGAAAGUCUAAUUCUACUUUUGCUCUUUUGAGGGGAUACAUACCUUUCUUGCUCUUUUGAAACUUUUUGAGGAGAAUAAGAUGCUCUACAUUUUCUUUUUCUUUCCUCUCAGGUGGGUAUCUUGUACACCUAAUUCUACUGUCGGACACUUGUCCAUUUUUACCUCUUGUCUCACUUUUUCUUUUCUUUCGAGGUUCCGGGCACUUGCCCCUUUUUACUUCCUCGUAUCCUUUCUCUUUCUUUUUUUUCUUUUUUUAGAGCACUCAUCUCCUGGAAUAAUAUAGCAAGUGGUAGUAACCAAGAUAACUCGAGCAUUUAUUUCACAUGGAAAAACAGAAAUAGGAGAAUGAUUUUAGCUAUUCUCUCCUGGAUUAGGAGUAGAAUACUUUUGGGUGAAUCUGGAGAUGGAAAUGAGUGGAUGUAUGUGGAUGCGUACUUCCGAAGUAGAAGUAGCAUGUGUGAGUGAACGUGCAAGUGGAUCUUGAUUUUAACCGCAUGACAAGCUCCCAAGGGUCUACACAGCUUGACCACACUCAAUGCUCAUAAGUAGUAAAAAGUAAAUAUGUGGCUCAAAGUCUAGCAAGCAUCUAUGUAUGGCUGUGGUAGGAAUUUAAACUCUCAUCAUACAGGAACUCAUCAUAUAUUAUUUUAAGGAUUUUCAAAGAUAAAAUUCUCCAGAAUUCUAGCAUCUCUAGAAACAGAUAAACAGCAGCUCAACCUUCCCAUAUCAUAUCCGUUAACGACUUAGACUUCCGAUCAAGUACUCUUCCCACAAGUUCAGGUUUAGAGCAGGUUUAAAUUAUAACAAUUAUGCCUAAACUUGAGAGAGAGCUCAAACUUAAAAACUAGGUACAUGGCAGAGCAACUAUUUAUCAUAUCCAUGUAAGAGUUUAUUAUUUAAGUUCAGUUUGGCCUAGACACUUUAUUUAUUUAUUUAGCAAACUAAGCAAAGAUAUAUAUAAGUACAACAUUUUUAUUUGGGUUUUCAUGAUUAUGCAUCUUUUUAUUAUUUGAGUAAAAUAUAAACGCGAGUAGAAACGCUUAGCUGGAUAAAUGGGGGUGCUCUCCACCAAGCUAGAUUUUGACGUAAUUUCUUCUGAUGUAGCUAGCAGGUGACAGGAGGUGUAUUCGAAUGUCGGCAGCACCCUGACAGCGAUUAUUAUGUCCUCCACCGACUAGUCUUCUUUGAUCCUUGAAUUAUGUGGAACUCAAAUAGACAACAAAGCUUUGUGGAACUGGUUAAGUGUUAGCAUAAAAUCUCUUAGCCUUUAUCAUAUUGAGAUUCCUCCUAAUAAAUUUUAUUUAGCAGGAUCAUGCACUUAUUAUUUGUAUAUUUUUAUUGUGAGAUGAAAACAUAUUUAUUUUAUGCCACCACAGUGAAUAUACCUAUGGGUUUUAAACCACAAGUCUACUCACAUGGGGCUUUAGAUUUUAUGAUGUAGUGCAACGAAUAAUUAUUUUUGUUUUCUUUUCUAAUUCUAAUGUGGAAAAGUAAAUAUGCUAAUGCAAGUGAUGGAAUAAAAAGAAAAGGAAUGCAGAAAAGAUAAAUAAUUUUACCUCCGGCAAGGAUACAAUGUUUUAAGUCUUCUGGACAAGACUUCUCACCGUGUUCAUCCUUUAGGUGCAUCAUUUGAUUAGGUGUGGGCCUUGACAUCUGCGCCUCUUGAUACGGUGUCACCCAUGUUCUUCGUUUGUCUAGCAGUUCGAGGUGCGGCAUUGGAAGUAUCUUGCUCAGUGUGUUUGUGCUCGUAGAUCCACGUCCUUCACUUGGUAGAGUCUGGGAGUUGUAAAACUCCUUCAGGUUUUGCUCAAAGUGUACCUACUCAUAGAGACAAGGC
rnacentral:lncRNA from 1 species